CCUUUGUCCCUGUUUUGAAGGGGAUUCAGUGUGUUUCCAAUUCUGUGAGCUGUCCAGCCAUCAUGGAUGCCUCUAACUGUCCCUGUGAAAACCAUUUCCACGACUAAGUGGGAUACCUUGAGGGGAUGCAGCCUGAUAAGAGCUGGUGCGUAUGCUGGGCCACAUGCACCUGAGUGUGCCUAGGAGCUGGGGCAUGGUUACUGAUAUUUCUAUGGAAUGCACACAGGUACCUUCCCCUGCCCUCUUUGUGGAGAGGUGUGUGAAAGGCUCCAUGGGCUGCCCGGGAACGUUACAGAGUCUCUGUGCCUACAGAUGAUUUUAUCAAUGUUUAACUAAACUUCCCUCGUAAAAUUGACAAGCAGUCGAAAAAUAUUUCUGCUAAUAAGCCGUGGAUUGAUGAUCACACUAAUAACGUAAGCAGAAGAGACAAGAGGUAGCACGACUGGCAGAUAUACUCUUAGUGGGGACUUUCCUUGCUUCCACAUUAUGUUGUGAACAUACUGCUGAACUGGUGAGAGUUUAUAUAGUUGCAUCCUUAAUAAUCUUUUUUUAAAUUGUAUAACUUAAAAAUAGAUUUGAAAAUAAAAAUAAAUUUUAAAACGA